GUUAGAAGAAAUUUGGAGGAAAUGAGAGAGAGGCGUAGGAAGAAGAGGCUGAGAGUAGCAUCCUUAUUUGUUGCAACUGUCAUGGGCAUGAUUGCGGAAUAUUAUUAUCGGAAAAGACCUAGACAUCUUAUGGAUCCCUCUGAGGUGAUAGAGAGAGAUGUAGCUGGUCGGAAACAAAUGCUAAGGAAUCUGUAUCAAGGAUCAAAUGUUUAUUGCUACGACAGUUUGCGUCUAACUAAGAGAUCCUUUUCGGACCUAUGCACUAUCUUACGUGAGAGGUGCGAUAUGUGUGACACCUUGAAUGUGUCGGUAGAAGAAAAGGUUGCUAUCUUUUUGCUUGUAGUGGGUCAUGGCACUAAGAUGAGGAUGAUUCGUAGCUCAUACGGGUGGUCACUUGAACCAAUUAGCCGCUAUUUCAAUGAGGUGUUGAGAGGUGUUCUAUCAUUAUGCCAUGAAUUUAUCAAGCUUCCUGAUCCUUUAGCUGUACAACCUGAAGAUUCUAAGUGGAGGUGGUUUGAAGAUUGCCUUGGAGCACUAGAUGGUACACACAUUGAUGUUUUUGUACCUUUGGCUGAUCAAGGGAGGUAUAGGAAUAGGAAGCAACAAAUAACCACCAAUGUUUUGGGUGUUUGUGAUCGACACAUGAAGUUUGUUUAUGUUCUAGCUGGAUGGGAAGGGUCAGCUUCAGAUUCACGUGUGCUUCGUGAUGCCAUGUCUCGGGACGAUGCAUUUGCUAUUCCAAGUGGAAAAUAUUACCUAGUAGAUGCUGGAUACACCAAUGGACCAGGCUUUCUUGCUCCAUAUCGAUCCACUCGCUACCACUUGAAUGAGUGGGCUGCCCAAGGGAAUAACCCAUCCAAUGCCAAGGAAUUGUUCAAUUUGCGCCAUUCAACAGCUAGAAAUGUAAUAGAGAGAACAUUUGGGCUAUUGAAGAUGAGGUGGGCUAUAUUAAGGAAAAACUCAUAUUUUGACUUACAAAAUCAGAUUAGGAUCAUCAAUGCUUGUUGCAUAUUGCACAACUUUGCAAGAGAUAGGCAAAGAGAUAUGGAUGAUUUACUUUUAGGCCAAGUUGAUCAAGUAAUAUCUGUUGAAUCUCAUGAUGUUCAAAGUGAAGUGAGUAUGAUUACCAAUGUGCAAUCAUCAAAUCAAUGGACUAACUUUAGGGACACCAAAGCUAACCAAAUGUUUGAUGAUUACCAAGCGAGACGUGGACAAUGUAUGAUAAUUUUUUAAAUAUUUCUUUUUUGCAAAUAUUGUGUUGCUCCUCAAUAAUUCUACUAACCUUUGUAUUUUUUUUGCUUGUAGGAUAUGGAGAAGGGUAAGAAGUCAGGCUCGGGCAGGGGCUACAUUUCUUGGAAUGAUGAUAUGGACAAGGCACUUCUUGACACAUUCGUGGAGUACUACAACAAGGGUGACAAAUGCCAAAAUGGGUGGAAGUCUCAUGUCUACACGGCUGCUAUCAAGAAUGUCCGAGAAAAGUGCAAUGUGGAAAUCACAAAAGACAACAUCAUGUCAAGGAACAAGACAUUUGACAAGCACCACACUAUCAUCAAUGGUAUGCUACAAACAAGUGGCUUUGGUUGGGAUUGGAACAAGAACAAGAUAUCCGUCGAUAGUGAUUCUGUAUGGGAGGCUUAUGUGGCGG
rnacentral:lncRNA from 1 species